ensembl:lncRNA
GAAUCAACCAGAACAAGAGGCAGGCACUAGAUAGACUGAGCGUCAGAGAAACGGAGACCUCGGAGACCUAGGAGACCUAGGAAAUUAAAAAAAAAAAAAAAAGACAGCUGCCGCCGCAGCCCCCUCUCCUGGCUCUCACCCGAAGCUCCAGCCCCUCUUCCCCUCCCUCUCCCCAUCUUGCGCUCCUGCUCCCUCCCUCCCCCUCUUCCCCUCCCUCUCUCUCUCCGUCCCUCCCUCCUUUCCUCUGUCCCGUCUAGCCUUCACCUCCCGCAGCAGGAGCCGUCUGCUUCUCUUCGGCUCGGGAGCUGCCCACACUGCCCUGCUCCGCCCGACCUUGCCCUGCCCUGCCCUGCCCUGCCCGGCUCUGCCCUGUCCUGCCCUGCCAGGCCCCGGCCCGGGUCCGCUUAGACCCGUUCCUCUCAGCUUCCCCGAACCCGUGGCGCUCUCCCGCCUACCCGCCCGGCCCUCCCGGUUCAGAUCCCGUGGGCUUGACUUGGCUCGGCUCAGUCCGACAUCCAGGAUCUGAGCCCUUGUGUGCCUAAAGGGUUGAGGCGCCGAGGGAGGGAGGCAGGGCUGCUGCGGGCCUCGGGCCGGGCUCCUCAGGGGCCCCGGGAGGCCCCAUGGGAGCGUGAGCAAUCCCGGCCCCAGCCCGACGGACGGGCGAACUGACCGACCCACGGAGUGACAGUCAGUCCAGGUAAGCGCCCACUCCGAAUACCCAGAGCUAGAAGGGCGUGGCUCGGAGCUCAGAAGGCAUGGUCCAAGCUGGGCACAGAGAAGUUGCCACGCCUGACAGGGACGCUGGGCACUGAGCAUCAGCUUCCUUCCAAUCGAGCGCCAGUCAGCUUGGACGCCCAGGGCCCCUGGCCUGAGGGGUAUUCUCGGAUGGGUUACGGACCGGGGCCACCACUAUAGGGCUACCCCUUCCCUGCUGAGUGCCAAGCAGCCUGGAAGUCUGGGUCCCCGCCACUCGAAGUGGAGGUGGAGCUGCGGAGGGCCCACGACUGGUGGCAUCUCUGGGAACCGUGCCCCAAUUUAAAGGUAUGUACGUGCCGUCUUGGCUCGUUUCUUCCCGGUCACUCCCCUCUAUCCGGUACCCGAGGCCCGUCCUCCCCGCUGUCUCCCCACACUCCCUCGUGCUGCAGAGAAAACUGGCCGCGUGGUUCGUUCCCCAGUGACCACUCCACGCUCGGCCUGCGGACUGGCUGGCGAGUCGCAAGAUACAGGCGCUCGUUGGCUUGGCAUUCCGCGGCGCCCCCGCCCCCUCGCUGUAGACAGCGGUUGAAUGGAAACCCAGCUCGGAAGCAGCUUUUUCUCAUUUGUAAACUAUUUCCCAACCGCCCCUUUGGCAGUGGGUCCGCUCGACUCGGCUCGGCUCGGCUCGACUCGGCUCGGCUCGGCUCGGCUCGGCUCGGCUCGGCUCCGCUGUGCCUAGGGCCCGCCUCCCUACAGGCUCCAAGCUCGAUUCCUACCUCUUUAGGGUCCGGGGUCUGGGGGCCCAUGCCGCCUGCAGACAGCCGCCAGAAUCCGGAUUCCAAAGCUCCAGACCCCAAGCGUCCUUCAUGGCACUAGCCUCUCUGGAUCCUGGGCUGUUUUUUUAUUUUUUAUUUUUUAGGUUAGGGGGGUGACGCAGUACAAAAAGCUGCUCCCCUAAGCCCCUGGCCCAGCCGGGACACUAAGCCCGGAUCAUGGACAUCAGCCUGCAGAAAGGCUCCCGCCUCCAGGGAGGUUGGGGAACUGCUGGUUCUCUGCAAAGGCAGAAAGGCUUGAACUCUCUCUUCCUCCCCAAGGAGCGUUUGGCAGGUGGUUUUUCCCCACCUCCGGCCCUAGACUGCCCCCUUCCGGCCAACUCAGUUCAAGCGGUCCCCAUCUGCGUCUUGGGCUGACCCUGAACCUGCGUCCUGUACUCUGCCUGGAACUACUUCUCUCCCUCUCCCCAGCUCGCAGAUCCUGCUUGUCUGCUUAGGUGCCUUUUUUUUUUGGCUGAUGGGGUGCUCUCCCCAACUCCUAAAUAAACCUGGGAGGGACUAGUCUGGAGCCUGAGAG